rnacentral:rRNA from 1 species
UACGUAGGGUGCAAGCGUUAAUCGGAAUUACUGGGCGUAAAGCGUGCGCAGGCGGCUAUGCAAGACAGAUGUGAAAUCCCCGGGCUCAACCUGGGAACUGCAUUUGUGACUGCAUAGCGUAGAGUACGGUAGAGGGGGAUGGAAUUCCGCGUGUAGCAGUGAAAUGCGUAGAUAUGCGGAGGAACACCGAUGGCGAAGGGCAAUCCCCCUGGGCCUGCA